GACGAACGCUGGCGGCGUGCUUAACACAUGCAAGUCGAACGGAAAGGCCUCUUUCGGGGGGUACUCGAGUGGCGAACGGGUGAGUAACACGUGAGUAACCUGCCCUUGACUUUGGGAUAACUUUAGGAAACUGGGGCUAAUACCGGAUAGGAGCUCCUGCUGCAUGGUGGGGGUUGGAAAGUUUCGGCGGUUGGGGAUGGACUCGCGGCUUAUCAGCUUGUUGGUGGGGUAGUGGCUUACCAAGGCUUUGACGGGUAGCCGGCCUGAGAGGGUGACCGGCCACAUUGGGACUGGGAUACGGGCCAGACUCCUACGGGGGGCAGCAAGGGGGAAUAUUGCACAAUGGGUGGAAGCCUGAUGCAGCAACGCCGGGGGCGGGAUGACGGCCUUCGGGUUGUAAACCGCUUUCGCUCAUGACGAAGCUUUGUGUGACGGUAGUGGGUAAAGAAGCACCGGCUAACUACGUG
rnacentral:rRNA from 1 species